UUCGCAAUGCCCGAAAGGGUGACGAAGCGACGCCGCGUGUGGGAAGAAGGCCUUCGGGUUGUAAACCACUGUCGGGAGUUAAGAAAUGCAAGGAUAUGAAUAGUGUCUUUGCUUGACUAAGGCUCCGGAGGAAGCCACGGCUAACUCUGUGCCAGCAGCCGCGGUAAUACAGAGGCGGCAAGCGUUGUUCGGAAUUAUUGGGCGUAAAGAGCACGUAGGCGGCUAUGUAAGUCGGUUGUGAAAGCCUUCCGCUCAACGGGAGAACAGCAUCCGAUACUACAUGGCUUGAGUGCGGGUGGGGAGAGUGGAACUUCUGGUGGAGCGGUGAAAUGCGUAGAUAUCAGAAGGAACGCCGGCGGCGAAAGCGGCUCUCUGGCCCAUAACUGACGCUGAGUGUGCGAAAGCUAGGGGAGCAAACGGGAUUAGAUACCCCGGUAGUCCUAGCCGUAAACGAUGGGCACUAAGUAGAGGGGUUUUA
rnacentral:rRNA from 1 species